GAUGAAGAACGCAGCGAAAUGCGAUAAGUAAUGUGAAUUGCAGAAUUCAGUGAAUCAUCGAAUCUUUGAACGCACAUUGCGCCCGUUGGUAUUCCGAGGGGCAUGCCUGUUCGAGCGUCAUUAUAACCCCUCAAGCUCAGCUUGGUGUUGGGGCCUGCCGCACGGGCAGCCCUUAAAAUCAGUGGCGGUGCCAUCUGGCUCUAAGCGUAGUAAUUCUUCUCGCUAUAGAGUCCCGGUGGAUGCUUGCCAUUAACCCCCAAUUUUCUAUGGUUGACCUCGGAUCAGGUAGGGAUACCCGCUGAACUUAAGCAUAUCAAUAAGCGGAGGA
rnacentral:misc_RNA from 1 species